rnacentral:rRNA from 1 species
AACGUGUAAAGAAUAGAAAUAUUCUUUCCUCAAGUUUUUUAGUUACGUUGUUCUGUUGUGUGUGUGAACAUAACCACAACGACAACGGUAACUCUUGAACAACUCACAACGGUGGAUGUCUUGGCUUCCCAAUCGAUGAAGGACGCGGCAGCAUGCGAUAACUCGU